AUCCCCACUUUCAAUGCAAGUUUGUACUGCUUUAUCUAUCUGACUUUCCAUAUAGGGGAUCAACGGUUCAGUUUUGUUCUUUUCUUCAAGGUUAUCUCUCAAGGACUUCAUUGUUGCAGGGCUUCGACUUUGACUGAAGGUAGUGGUUUGUGAAAUGCCUGAAGUAUCUGUGGUAUCCAUCAAGUCAUCUGUUUGCGGGGCUUCGACUUUGACUGAAGGUAGUGGUUUGUGAAACGCCUGAAGUAUCUGUGGUAUCCAUCAAGUCAUCUGAUCUUCGAUCCAAUGUGCCAUCCAGAAACCUAGCAUUCAAUUUUUUUCAAGCUUAAACAUAUCUAAAAAAUCCCAAUAUCCAAUACAGUCAAACACCAUGUGCAGAUUUUGAAGUUUGUGCAAUCACAAAUCAUCCACUUGAUUUAAUGAGCUAGAUCAUAGCAACAAGCAAACUCUAAAUAAAGUAACUCUUCCAAUUCUUCUUGAUAAAUGUUAUCCCCAAUUUAUGAUGAACCGUUUGUCGAACUGCCCCAAAUCUUAUCCCCCCCCCCCUUCUCCACAUACACACACNNNNNNNNNNNNNNNNNNNNNNNNNNNNNNNNNNNNNNNNNNNNNNNNCCCCAAAUCUUACCCCCCCCCCCCCUUCUCCACAUACACACACACGCACACACAACCCAAGAGCAUCCAACAAAUCCUAUAAUUCAGUCAUUAAACCAACUGCCAAGCUUUGCUGCCAAAGUGUCACAAUCACUAAACGUAAGAGUUUUCUCUCUCUCUCCACAUACACACACGCAUGCACACACACAUAACCCAAGAACAUCCAACCAAUCCUAUAAUUCAGUCAUUAAACCAACUGUCAAGCUUUGCUGCCAAAGUGUCACAAUCACUAAACGUAAAUGUUUUCAUGUAUAGAACACCAUUAGGAUUUUAUAGUCCGUCCACAUGAAUAUGGCACCGUGAUGGAGUAAUCUCAAAAGGAAGAAAUAGACCUAGGAACACAGAUCUAACGAAAGAAAGGAACUUGGCCAAAGAUAUCAGGAUAAUAAUGGAGACUGUAGACUUUAGAAGCAAGGAGUACUGAACACCUGUUUUCACAUAAAUCAUCAAAUCAACUACAGUUGUUAUCUCAAUGACCACUCAAUGGCUUCGAGGUAGCAGACAGAGGCAUUCUGCAAAAGCACCUGAGUAAAGACAGAUCCCAGAUGAAUAAGGAGGACUGUAAGUGUAAGCUCCAAACACUCCUGGUAAUAUUUAUGUGUAACCCAUAUGAAUCUGUGGAAUAAAGAGUGUCUAUGGAGCUGAUGUUCCAUGUCAGACCCAGCAAUAGGUGAAUACAAUUUCGUGACACUGCCUUCCAUGCAAAAUCAUCAUUUGUAGUCCCCAAGCUAUAAUGAUUUGAAAUGGCAGAGUAACAGACAUUUCUGACAGUCACUUAGAGGCUAUUGAUUUAACUAUGAUGUUUUGUCUACAAGCAAUAAUUAAGCUAGAAUUAACUUACUAAUCAUAAAGAAAAGGGGAAA
rnacentral:lncRNA from 1 species